GGACAGGUAGCUCAGUAGGUAGAGCAUCGGACUGAAAAUCCGAGUGUCGACGGUUCGAUUCCGUCUUUGUCCA
rnacentral:tRNA from 1 species